GAAUUCGCCCUUAGAGUUUGAUCCUGGCUCAGGACGAACGCUGGCGGCGCGCCUAACACAUGCAAGUCGAACGAGCGAGAGGAGGUUUACUUUCUCAAGCGAGUGGCGAACGGGUGAGUAACGCGUGAGGAACCUGCCUCAAAGAGGGGGACAACAGUUGGAAACGACUGCUAAUACCGCAUAAGCCCACGACCCGGCAUCGGGUAGAGGGAAAAGGAGCAAUCCGCUUUGAGAUGGCCUCGCGUCCGAUUAGCUAGUUGGUGAGGUAAUGGCCCACCAAGGCGACGAUCGGUAGCCGGACUGAGAGGUUGAACGGCCACAUUGGGACUGAGACACGGCCCAGACUCCUACGGGAGGCAGCAGUGGGGAAUAUUGCACAAUGGGGGAAACCCUGAUGCAGCGACGCCGCGUGGAGGAAGAAGGUCUUCGGAUUGUAAACUCCUGUUGUUGAGGAAGAUAAUGACGGUACUCAACAAGGAAGUGACGGCUGACUACGUGCCAGCAGCCGCGGUAAAACGUAGGUCACAAGCGUUGUCCGGAAUUACUGGGUGUAAAGGGAGCGCAGGCGGGAAGGCAAGUUGGAAGUGAAAUCCAUGGGCUCAACCCAUGAACUGCUUUCAAAACUGUUUUUCUUGAGUAGUGCAGAGGUAGGCGGAAUUCCCGGUGUAGCGGUGGAAUGCGUAGAUAUCGGGAGGAACACCAGUGGCGAAGGCGGCCUACUGGGCACCAACUGACGCUGAGGCUCGAAAGUGUGGGUAGCAAACAGGAUUAGAUACCCUGGUAGUCCACACUGUAAACGAUG
rnacentral:rRNA from 1 species